rnacentral:tRNA from 1 species
CAAAAUAUAGCUUAUACAAAGCAAUCAGCUUACACCUGAAAGAUGUCCUCAACACCAAGGACUAUUUUGA